GAGGAGAGGAGCUUAGGUUUUUGCGCGCCUCAUUUUCCUUUUCAACAUCUGUUCUUUCCUCUUUCAGCCGCUUCUUUUUUUGCUCUUUAGAGGCACAUAUGUCUCUUUCUUCUUCUGCCUUUUUUUUUUCAUGUGGCUACUGGGAUGGAUUGCUAGAUUCAGGCUUGGACUCUUAUGGUGUAGGCUCUUGGCUUCUUCUUCUUCUCUUUUUUCCUUUUCAGCAUGUUUUUC
rnacentral:lncRNA from 1 species